AUGCCGAAGCGUGGGAGAAAGGGAGCUGUGGCAGAAGACAGGGAAGAACCCAAGAUUGAACCAGAAGCCAAGAAGAGUAAGGUGGGAACAAAGAAAAACGAAAAAGUGGCAGGAGAGGGGCCAGUCCUGUAUGAGGACCCCCCAGAUCAGAAAACCUCGCCCAACGGUAAAUCGGCCACCCUCAGGAUCUGCUCCUGGAAUGUGGAUGGGCUUCGGGCCUGGAUUAAGAAGAAAGGUUUAGAUUGGGUAAAGGAAGAAGCCCCAGAUAUCCUCUGCCUCCAACAGACCAAAUGUUCGGAGAACAAACUACCAGCUGAACUUCAAGAGUUACCUGGACUAUCCCAUCAGUACUGGUCAGCCCCUUCAGACAAGGAAGGGUACUGUGGUGUGGGCCUGCUCUCCCACCAGUGCCCCCUCAAAGUCUCCUAUGGCACUGGUGAGGAGGAACAUGAUCAGGAAGGCCGAGUGAUCGUGGCUGAAUUUGACACGUUUGUGCUAGGAACAGCCUAUGUACCUAAUGCAGGCCGAGGUCUGGUACGCUUGGAGUACCGGCAGCGCUGGGAUGAAGCCUUUCGCAAGUUCCUGAAGGGUUUGGCUUCCCACAAGCCCCUUGUGCUAUGUGGGGACCUUAAUGUGGCUCAUGAAGAAAUCGACCUUCGCAACCCCAUGGGAAACAAAAAGAAUGCUGGCUUCACUCCACAAGAGCGUCAAGGCUUUGGGGAAUUACUAUAGGCCGUGCCACUGGCUGACAGUUUCCGGCACCUCUACCCCAACACAGCUUAUGCCUAUACCUUUUGGACCUACAUGAUGAAUGCUCAAUCCAAAAAUGUCGAUUGGUGCCUUGAUUACUUUUUGUUGUCUCACUCUCUGUUACCUGCAUUGUGUGAGAGCAAGAUCAGUCCCAAGGCCCUGGGCAGUGACCACUGUCCUAUCACCCUAUACUUAGCACCGUGA